GUUAGAGAGACUACGAGAGGCUCAUUAAAACAUAUCAACUUGAUCGAAUAGUAGAACCAGCGGAAGGAUAACUUUGGUAAUUCUCAAGCUAAUACAUAAGCCAAGCAAUAGGAGUUGUGUUUGACUUAAGCUAGAGGGCCAAACCUGUGUCAAAGCGGGUAUCAAAGUUGACCUAAAGCCGUUCUCAAUAGUUCAGUUCACCUGACUAUCAAUUCGUUCAUAGUAUGACCUAUCAACUGUAGACUGUGUGGUAGAGGCACACAGUGGUGUUGACGGGUAACAGAGAAUCAGGGUUCGAUUCUGGAGAGGGAGCCUUAGAAAUGGCUACCACAUCUAAGGAAGGCAGCAGGCGCGCAAAUUACCCAUUUGUCAAAGACAGAGGUAGUGACGAAAUAUAACAAUACAAGACUCUUUCGAGGCCUUGUAAUUGGAAUGAUGUUAAUCUAAAUUAAUGUCAAAGGACCAAUUGGAGGGCAAGUCUGGUGCCAGCAGCCGCGGUAAUUCCAGCUCCAAUAGCGUAUACUAAUGUUGCUGUGGUUAAAAAGCUCGUAGUCGGAGAAGGGUCAAGUGAACUCAAGCGCUAGCGCUAGAGGUUCUCGUUGACUGGAGGGAAAGACAAAGUCAAUUGACUUUCAAAGGUUGAUUGAGCUGGGUCUGUGUUUACUUUGAAAAAACAAGAGUGCUAAAGGCAGGCGGCCAGUCGGAAUAGUUGUGCAUGGAAUAAUAUAACAAGGAGUUGUGUUUGUUAUGUUGGUCUCAAACGUAACUUGAUGAUAAAUAGAGACUGACGGGGGCAUAUGUAUUCAAGCGCUAGAGGUGAAAUUCUUGGACCGCUUGAAGACAUCCAAAAGCGAAAGCAUAUGCCAAGUAUGUUUUCAUUGAUCAAGAACGAAAGUUAGAGGAUCGAAGGCGAUUAGAUACCGCCCUAGUUCUAACCAUAAACGAUGCCAACCAGUAAUCUGUCGCAUGUCUAUUGACGUGGUGACAGGCGACUUUUGGAAACUAAAGUUAUUUGGUUCCAGGGGAAGUAUGGUUGCAAAGCUGAAACUUAAAGUAAUUGACGGAAGGGCACCACCAGGAGUGGAGCUUGUGGCUUAAUUUGACUCAACACGGGAAAACUUACCAGGCCAGAACACUAGAAGGAUUGACAGACUAAGGGCUCUUUCUUGAUUUGGUGGUUGGUGGUGCAUGGCCGUUCUUAGUUGGUGGAGUGAUCUGUCUGGUUAAUUCCGAUAACGAACGAGACUCUCACUUACCAAUAAGAACACUGUUUCCAAAUUGAAGUCGGGUGGAAACAAACACUAAUCUUGAAGAUAUGUGUCUUCUUGGAAGGGUUAGUUAAGCCAAGUGGCUAAAGAAAGAGCAAUAACAGGUCUGUGAUGCCCUUAGAUGUUCUGGGCCGCACACGUGCUACAAUUGAAUAUACAACCCGUCCCUGGUUCGAAAGAGCUAGGCAAACGGUUAAUAUAUUUAACAGUCGGGAUUGUCGCUUGAAAGUGUUCGACAUGAACCUGGAAUUCCUAGUAAAGGCCAGUCAAUAGCUGGUCUUGAUUGAGUCCCUGCCCUUUGUACACACCGCCCGUCGCUACUACCGAUUGAAUGUCUUAGUGAGAACCAUGGAAGGCACCCUCGUUCUUGGAAACUGGGGAGCUUGAAGUGCUUCAAACUGUGUC
rnacentral:rRNA from 1 species